GCUGAUGUAGCUCAGUCGGUAGAGCAGCUCACUCGUAAUGAGCAGGUCAUCGGUUCGAGUCCGAUCAUCAGCU
rnacentral:tRNA from 7 species